CCUACGGGGGGCAGCAGUGGGGAAUAUUGCACAAUGGGGGAAACCCUGAUGCAGCGACGCCGCGUGAGUGAAGAAGCGUUUCGGCGCGUAAAGCUCUGUCAGCGGGGAAGAAACACGGUUCGCGAGAGCCGCGGACGGUACCCGACCAAGAAGCCCCGGCUAACUACGUGCCAGCAGCCGCGGUAAUACGUAGGGGGCAAGCGUUAUCCGGAUUUACUGGGUGUAAAGGGAGCGUAGGCGGCAAGGUAAGCCAGAAGUGAAAGCCCGCGGCUCAACUGCGGGACUGCUUUUGGAACUAUCUAGCU
rnacentral:rRNA from 1 species